UAAGAAAUCUUUCUCUUUAUACCUAAUCAAGCUUGAAGAUAGGAAUUAAGGGAAAAGCUAGGCAAAUCAAGGAAUCAAGGAGUAGGAACAAGAUGAAGUGUUGCUAUUCUAAGAUGUUAGAAUAUUAUAAGUUGUAAUUUUCUGCAUUUCCGCUGCUGUAAUAACUCUAUUAUAAUGAAAUAAAGUUUAAGAUAUGAAGUUUCUUUCAUUCACUUGUACUAAGGGCAAAGGACGAUACCCCCGAGAACGGGAUGUUACAUAAACGUAUAUGAUUAGUGUUAUCAUUAUCAUGUA